UACGUAGGGUGCGAGCGUUGUCCGGAAUUACUGGGCGUAAAGAGCUCGUAGGUGGUUUGUCGCGUUGUUCGUGAAAACUCACAGCUUAACUGUGGGCGUGCGGGCGAUACGGGCAGACUGGAGUACUGCAAGGGAGACUGGAAUUCCUGGUGUAGCGGUGGAAUGCGCAGAUAUCAGGAGGAACACCGGUGGCGAAGGCGGGUCUCUGGGCAGUAACUGACGCUGAGGAGCGAAAGCGUGGGGAGCGAACAGG
rnacentral:rRNA from 1 species